rnacentral:rRNA from 1 species
UACGAAGGGGGCUAGCGUUGCUCGGAAUUACUGGGCGUAAAGGGCGCGUAGGCGGACAGUUUAGUCAGAGGUGAAAGCCCAGGCUCAACCUUGGAAUUGCCUUUGAUACUGGCUGUCUUGAGUUCGGGAGAGGUGAGUGGAAUGCCCGAGUGUAGAGGUGAAAAUUCGUAGAUAUUCGGCGGAACACCAGUGGCGAAGGCGGCCACCUGGACGGUAACUGACGCUGAGACGCAAAAGCUGGGUAGCAAACAGG